rnacentral:rRNA from 1 species
UACAGAGGGGGCAAGCGUUGUUCGGAAUUACUGGGCGUAAAGGGCGCGUAGGCGGCCUGCUAAGUCGAACGUGAAAUCCCCGAGCUCAACUCGGGAACUGCGUCCGAUACUGGUUGGCUUGAAUCCGGGAGAGGGAUGCGGAAUUCCAGGUGUAGCGGUGAAAUGCGUAGAUAUCUGGAGGAACACCGGUGGCGAAGGCGGCAUCCUGGACCGGCAUUGACGCUGAGGCGCGAAAGCGUGGGGAGCGAACGAGG